UUGAGCUAAUGAGUUCUAUUUAACCUAGAGGCUCAUUUUUUUUUAAUGGAUGAGAAAACGUCUUUUAUUUUUAAUUUAUAAGGCAAAAUGGCCUCGUUGCAAAUGCUGUUCAUCUCUCACAAUGUAAGUUUGAUGCAUUAUGGCCUUGAACUCCUCUCUCCAUCAAAAGGAUGGACAAAGACAAAGUGAGUAGAGUGGAAUCAAUUCUUUCUAAGGAAUCCUUUUGAGUCAUCGCAUGGGAUGAAUGCAAAGUUCAUGGAUCUAUCAACCUUUGAGCUGUUUAUUUAAGUGCCAACCAGCUCCUGAAACAUGAGAAGCACUUAACAAACAGAAAAAAGCAUCCAGAGAUCUCAUAGCCAUGGGACCAAGUCUGUCAUCCAACAGAAAGAAGAGCUCAAAAAAGAACCAACACAAAGAUGGGAUUUACUUUUCCUCAUUGAUACAUAACUUCUUUCAUCAAACUCCCCACAGGAAAACUGAGUGUGUUUUGGGUUUCUUUCGUGUGAAGUAAAGAUCAUAGGAAAUGAAAUCACUUGGCAGAAAGGGAAGUUGCCAUGUUAGAAAUGACUGGACUUAUGUGUGUGCUUAUGUCUUGAAGUAAACAAGAGUCACAGAAGCAACUGAGUCAAGUGACAGAAGAGAAAGAAGUUAUAAAAAUGUUG